rnacentral:rRNA from 1 species
UACGAAGGGGGCUAGCGUUGCUCGGAAUCACUGGGCGUAAAGCGCACGUAGGCGGAUUGCUAAGUCAGGGGUGAAAUCCUGGAGCUCAACUCCAGAACUGCCUUUGAUACUGGCGAUCUUGAGUCCGGGAGAGGUGAGUGGAACUCCUGGUGUAGCGGUGGAAUGCGCAGAUAUCAGGAAGAACACCGACGGCGAAGGCAGCUCGCUGGGACGUUACUGACGCUGAGACGCGAAAGCGUGGGGAGCGAACAGG